UUCCUGAAGCUUUUGAGUUGUUUACUUUGUGCCUUUUCUUUAUCUGCCCUUUGGAACAUCCUGGGCCUUAACUUAAUACUGUCCCUGUAGAGUGGAAGUUUUACCUCUUUUUAGAGCAUCCUGAGUCUCAACCAGAUUCUCUGCAGGAGGGAAUGUAUCAACUGGGAGGAAAUUGCCACACAACAGAGGGUAGUUGGGUAAAGCGGGGUCCUGCACAGCCUCCAGGAUGAAAGAGCUGGAAACCUUCUUGCAACAACUUCCAGUGAGACCAGCUCAAAACCUUUGAUUCCAGGUGAAAACCAAAUCACCGGCCUCGGCUCAGAUGGCACGGAUCCGUUCCUUCACAGCCAUUUUUUUCUGAACAUAAGCAGGCUGCAUUUAAAACUCCCCAGCUCAUCCGUCUUCAUUUGAGGACUGGGUUAAAAAACAAAAUUAAUGAUUGCUAUCAGCGAGACGACGAGCAGCAUCUUUGGUGAAAAGUAGAUCUGCCACGAUUGUCCAAGGCUGACAUCUUUCACCAGCUGGAAAUGGCUGGAUGUACUUGUAAACAUUAUUAAAAAUAAUAAC